rnacentral:rRNA from 1 species
UCCGGUAGUGAACAUCGGAGGGAUCAUUA